GGAGAUAUUGAUCAGCUAGAGAAUGUACAUCUCUGAACUGGGGAUUGACAUGGGUUCCAAUGAGCAUCCUGAACAGCCACCAACACUUCAAGCUCCAUUAGAUUCAUUAGUCAGAAGACCUAUUGGCAGAAUAGCUUGUGUUGUGCCCUGAGUCAGCUUCUGCUUUGGACUCCACUCAAAGGAAAAGCAACCUUAUGCAUUCCUCAGCAACAGGGUCAGAGGAGGACAUCCAUAUGUGUUGUUAAACCAACUUCUCGGGAAGAUCAGGGAAGAUUUCAGAGAAAUGGUGGAAUUUUAAUAGAGCCUGG